rnacentral:rRNA from 1 species
GACGAACGCUGGCGGCGUGCUUAACACAUGCAAGUCGAACGAAGAGCGAUGGAAGCUUGCUUCUAUCAAUCUUGGUGGCGAACGGGUGAGUAACGCGUAAUCAACCUGCCCUUCAGGGGGGGACAACAGUUGGAAACGAUUGCUCAUACCGCAUACGAUCUCAUCUCGGCAUCGGGGAGAGAUGAACGGUGGCCUCUACAUGUAAGCUAUCACUGAAGGUGGGGAUUGCGUCAGAUUCGCUAGAUGGCGGGGUCACGGCCCACGAUGGUGAUGAUCAGUAGCCGGUCGGAGAUGAUGAACGGCCGGAUUGGGACUGAGACACGGCACAGACUGCUACGGGAGGCAGCAGUGGUGAUACUUGCGCAAGGGAUGAAAGUUAGACGGCGCAACGCGGAAGCAGUGAGGACGGACGCCGGGUGGGAAAGGUCUGCCAUUCGGGUCGAAAGGCCUUCUUGCGAAGAGGGAGAGUGAGUGACGGUAACGGAAUAGAAAGCAACGGCUAACUACGUG